rnacentral:rRNA from 1 species
UUAAUUGAAGAGUUUGAUCAUGGCUCAGAUUGAACGCUGGCGGCAGGCCUAACACAUGCAAGUCGAGCGGUAACAGGGGAAGCUUGCUUCUCGCUGACGAGCGGCGGACGGGUGAGUAAUGUAUGGGGAUCUGCCCG